AAUUAUUUUGGUCUAAUUUUACUUUGAGAAUAUAAUAUAGCUCAAUCUCAGAUAUAUGGCAUUACAUGAGUGUAACAAAUGAAACAACCUUGGGAUAUGUUAAGUUACAAGUUGAUGAGUGAAGGACCUAACCUACAUAUAAAUUAAAUAAAAGGUUAGCAAACGGAAAGGGAUAUGGAUCAAGAAAAGUUACGUGGCAGUUGGUGGUUAUAUAAGGAUUUAACUACGAAUCCUUUGAAUUUAAUAACAAACAAGAGGACAAGAGAAUUAAAUAACCCAUUAAAUAUCUGUAAAUGGGUCUCGUGCCAUAGACAGUUUAUGUAAUUAUUUUAGGAAUGGAUAGAAAGGGGUAAUAUAAAUGGCCGACGUAGGCAUCUUGUGUAGUUUCCUCAUUUAGCAUUCCCUCCUCUUUUAGGCAAAGGAAAUGGGCUGUCGUCCCCAUUAGGUCCAUCAAUGAGCCCAGACGCAAACUAACAGUGAGAUUGUUGCUGAAGGUUCAAAACUAAUACAUAAGUUACCACUCGAACUAUGGAUCAAAUCCCCCUUACACACUUUUUGCGGAGGAAAAUUACCUUGCACACUCAACCUUUCUAGAAUGUAGCAUUUACACAUUUUUUUAUGAGGUGACCUGCGCGUGUAAGUGAACGCGUUAAAGUUAAAUAAGUAGUCCAAAUUUUAUUUUUUCUUAUUUUUCUUUUAAAUAAAAAGAAGAAAAAAGUAUCUAAACCCUUCCCUCCCCUUUCGUCCCCCCUCCCUCCUUAUCUUAUCCAGAUACCCCUUUGUUACACAAGUGACCCAUUUAAUUUUUUUUCUUUUUCUUUCUUGCUUUCACACACCUUCCACCAUAGAAGAACGAAUUUUCAAGCUUGAUUUCUUCUUCUUCAUUUUUUUUAUUAAAUCUGGGGUUGAUUUGGUGUUUGUGGAAGGUGUCAAAGACAUUAUAUUGGUCUAUGGAGGAGGCAACAUAGGCCGGUAUUAUCUUCUUAAGCACCGACGGCUUAAAGUUAAGUAUUUUCGGCUUCAAUUCCAACCAAUUCGAUUAUUCCGAUGAAAAGAAAGAGGACAAGUGAUAAAAUUCUUGAACUAGUUCUCUUUCUUAAUCAAAGUGCCACCCUAAUUUCUUCAGUGUUUAUUGUUGCUGGGAGGAAGAUGCAUUUGAAAUUACCGUGAAAAAUGACCGACAGAUGUUAGGAAGAAGACAGAGAGGGUUAGGGAAGAUGAUUGUUUUUUCAUUUUGUUUUAAUGCAAAUUGAGGUAUAUUUUUUAAGUAUAAUUUUUUCCCCAAAGACAUAACACGUGUCACACAUUGAUUGGAGUGUGUAAUGCAAUCUCUAAGAAGAAGUGGUUAAUCCCAAAAGUAGUGUGUUAUAGGCACACUUUGGAAAGGUUGAGUGUGUAUGGUAAUUUUCCUCCGCAAAAAUGUGUAAGAGGGAUUUGGUCCAUAGUUCGAGUGGUAACUUAUGUAUUUUGCCAUCCAAAUUCUAUAACAUUGCAUGGUAAGAAUUAAACAAUGGAAAAUUAUCAAAUUUUGCUUCAAAGGAAACAGUUCCGAAAACUUCAAAUUACCUGACUUCCAUAAUACAUAAAUUACAUCCCAAUUUGAACUAAAUUAUACAAUACUGUACUUAAUGAAGCAUGAAUCAAAGAGGAAUUAUAAAUUUACAAGGCCCUAAUAAAUUAAAACUAACUGAUGAUGUGAAUAACACUGCCAUCUAUUCAAUUUCCAAAUCAAGAUGCCAACCUUUGGAUUUGAACUUGUACCAAAUGGACUUCAAUUGGUUCCAAUAGUUAUUUAUUAACCUGGACACCAUACCUUUAGCAUCUAAUCAAUGACAACAAAAAGCUAGUCUAAGAUUUGCGAAGAAAAGAGCUAAAUAUGACAUAGAGAUCUCUUAUAAUUAAAGAGAGUGAUUCAGUGACAAAAAUUAGAUUCUGAAAUAAAAAAAAAACAUAGCUGAACCAUCAGCAUCUAGACCCUUUUUCUUUUAACAACCUUUAAAAUCUAACCUUGAUUUAUGGCUUGCAACAGUCAGAUCCGCAAGACUUUAACCAAGUUAUUAGCCAACAAGCACUUUCUAUCCUUCAAAACCAAAAAAAAAUUGCCAUGCUCAAAACAGCUUGCUCAUGACCAAGAUUCUACUAUGGCUUGAAACCAAAGAAAAUACCAACAACAAACCAAACAAACAUAUUUCUGAAAGAAACAAGAAGAAGAUCACUACAUGAUGGCAUGUUUUAAAACAACAUACAUAACACUAAUAAACUGUUCCCAUUUGUUUUAUUACUUUAACCAUUACUCAAACACAAAACAAAGCAGGUUUGGAGCUUUGAAUCAGCCAAAAAUCCAAAGAAAAUCACCACAAAAAAAAACAGAAUCUGACUUCAUUCAUACUUAAAGUUCAAGGAAAUCAGCUUCUAUUCAAAAUACAACUUAAAAUCAAGCAUACAAAGUUCAGAAAAAUACCUAUAAAAGAAAAUGGGACAAACAACUCAAAGAAAGAAGAAGUCUGCAGCAGCUCAGCUCAAAUCGAACAGCAGUGAAUUCAAGAAACAAAGUUUUGUUUCAGCUUUAGGAAACCCCAGCAAAUGACUCCAAAAACGGCCAGAAGUAGAAAAAUUUUCUUCAGAAUUUUUUGGAAAAAAGAACUGAUUUAAGCCGUUUGUAUUUUUUCACUCCUUUUUUCUGUGCCCUAAUGAUUGGAAAGAGGGUCUUUUAUAGGGAAAAUUAGGGCAGCAAAUUAGAUUUUCUUAAUUCUAUACCACCUCUCUUCAAUUCUUAUUUUGUUCACUUGGACCCCUUAAAAUUUAAACCAUUCAAACAAUUAUC
rnacentral:lncRNA from 1 species